GCGAUGUCUGACGGUGCAGACGCAUCCGGGCAGGCUCUCUGCAAGAAAUGUAAAAAGCAAACUAACAGUGGCCCCAAAUGUAUUACAUGUGGAGCCAAUUAUCAUACAAGUUGUGCUAAGCUUAUAAAAAAAGCCAAGUUUAUAAACGAUAACGAAGUUAACUGUUGUGCUGUGAGUGAUACCGGCGAAAUUAGUGAUUGCGAAUCUCUUGCUCAAAGUGAAGAUACGUUUAGCUCCCUCAGGAACGAAAUCAAGUACCUCAAGACAAUUAUCGAUCACAAAGAUGUAAUCAUCAAGGAAUUAGAUGAAAAAAUCCACCUUCUUAAAGUCAAUGCAGCGCUCAGAGAGGUAAUUGAAGGCCAACUUAAAAACGAUCGCGAUAAUGGAAGAGAAGUUCGCGAAAAAGUGAAUGCAGGUAAACAAGCCUGGCUUAUCAACAGCGAUGAACCUCCGAAAGUACCUUUCAACUUGCAACGUCCUGCGACGAUGAUGGAUAAGGGUUUGCCAAAUUCCAAAAACCUGACAAAAAAUAGGGACAGAACAUUUCCUCCCACAUUACAAGUAACAAUUCCUUCAACUUCCGGAGUCUCUACCGCUGAUACCAACACAAAAACGCCGCAGAGUGAUAAAGAGGACGGCUUCAUUCUGGUCCAAAACAAAAAAAAGAAGGCAUCCGCGUCUACCAAAGUGGCCCCACAGAGCUUACAAGCAACUAAACCGAUCUCGGGAGCUUCUAGAAAAAAACCAAUGAUUGGCUCAUCAGCCAAUUAGAUCCGGACACCAAGGUCGAGAAUAUCCUGGACUAUAUCAAGCCCCAUGUGUCCAAAGCAAACUGCGAAAGACUACAAUCGAAAAAUCCAACCCUAUACUCGUCAUUCAAGCUAUCUGUGCCACUAGGAGAACUUGAGCAAGUCAUGAAUUCUUCCAUCUGGCCCUGUGGAGUUACUAUAAAUCGUUUUUUCUUCAGGCGCCCCCAAAACAACAAUCCACCAAACCAGAGUGUAGUGGCGUAACUGUGUUAAAUUUAUAUCACCUUAAUAUUCAAAGCUUAAAAAACAAAAUUUUAGAUCUAGAAGCCUUUUUGCUGUCCGAUGGCCCUUUUGAAGUACUAUGUAUCAAUGAGCAUUGGAUGACGGCUAAUGAAAUCGAGGUUCUUAAAUUAGGAAAUUAUUGUACAGUUUCUAGCUUUUGCAGAACUUUGCGCUAUCAUGGUGGAGUAAGUAUUUUUGUUCAUAAUUCCAUGACUCAUUGCAAAUCUUUGAGU